rnacentral:rRNA from 1 species
UACGGAGGGUGCGAGCGUUGUCCGGAAUCAUUGGGCGUAAAGGGCGCGUAGGUGGCCCGGUCAGUCUUUGGUGAAAGCGCGGGGCUCAACCCUGCGUCGGCCAGGGAUACUGCCGCGGCUCGAGCACUGUAGAGGCAGGCGGAAUUCCGGGUGUAGCGGUGGAAUGCGUAGAUAUCUGGAGGAACACCAAUGGCGAAGGCAACUUCCUGGGGCAAUACUGACACUGAUGUGCGAAAGCGUGGGGAGCAAACAGG